rnacentral:miRNA from 1 species
UUAGGUUGGUGCAAAAGUAACUGCCAUUACUUUCAAUGGCAAAAACUGCAAUUACUUUUGCUCCAACUUACUA